CGCGUAGGCGGUCAGCACAAGUCAGUUGUGAAAUCUCCGGGCUUAACUCGGAAAGGUCAACUGAUACUGUGCGACUAGAGUGCAGAAGGGGCAACUGGAAUUCUUGGUGUAGCGGUGAAAUGCGUAGAUAUCAAGAGGAACACCUGCGGCGAAGGCGGGUUGCUGGGCUGACACUGACGCUGAUGCGCGAAAGCCGAGGGGAGCGAACG
rnacentral:rRNA from 1 species